UACGUAGGGGGCAAGCGUUGUCCGGAAUCAUUGGGCGUAAAGAGCGUGUAGGCGGUUCGGUAAGUCCGCUGUGAAAGUCGGGGGCUCAACCCUCGAAUGCCGGUGGAUACUGUCGGACUAGAGUACGGAAGAGGCGAGUGGAAUUCCUGGUGUAGCGGUGAAAUGCGCAGAUAUCAGGAGGAACACCAAUGGCGAAGGCAGCUCGCUGGAACGGAACUGACGCUGAGGCGCGAAAGCGUGGGGAGCGAACAGG
rnacentral:rRNA from 1 species